rnacentral:rRNA from 1 species
UACGGGGGGGGGCAAGCGUUGUUCGGAAUUACUGGGCGUAAAGCGCACGUAGGCGGGUCGUUAAGUCAGGGGUGAAAUCCCGGAGCUCAACUCCGGAACUGCCUUUGAUACUGGCGAUCUUGAGUUCGAGAGAGGUGAGUGGAACUGCGAGUGUAGAGGUGAAAUUCGUAGAUAUUCGCAAGAACACCAGUGGCGAAGGCGGCUCACUGGCUCGAUACUGACGCUGAGGUGCGAAAGCGUGGGGAGCAAACAGG